UCACGGGAAGAUAAAUACCAUGCAGUUCCUCCAAAAGAAGUGACUGAAGAAGCAGUCAGCAUCAGAUGGGUCAGUUCUUUGGGACCUGGAGGUUUUGCAACAGCUCAUGUCAUGUGUCUGUCCACCCCUGCCAUUUUGUACAAAUGUAGUAAACUUCACAGUCUGCACUAAUUAACACCAGGCCUGAAGAGGAGCUAUGGAUUGGGAAUUCAGGAGCAGGGGGGAUGUCCCUAAGCACCAAGCUGACAAGGUGCAACCUGUCCAAGAAAAGCCCUCUGUGGCAGUGGGUACACACAGCGACUCUCUCAAAUGGAUUUAAGUUGGUACAUGGGAGGUCCAUGGGUUCCCCUAUGUCUGGGCCUGGUUCUGCUGCCUCAGGUGACACCACGGUCUAAAAGCAGAGAGUCCCCUGAACUCCACUGAAAUCUUCCUUUGACUGCCAUAACUCUUGGUUGAAGACCAAUCUCUGUCUUAUGUUUGAGCAUCUCUAAGUAUUAAUAGCUACAUCUUCAGUGGCCCCUGUGAAGCAAAAAGUUAUAAGAGUUCUCCUCUUUCAAUGAGAAAACUGGAUCAUGAACAGACAAUAAUCCUCAUCUGUUUAUCUUGGAAUGACUUGGAGGAAGCUGUUGACAGCACUAGAAGAAACGGAGAUUUGGCAUUGGUUGAGUUCACUACAAGACCCUUACUUUUUUAGCAAAAUGGUCUGCUGGUGGUGGGAAGCAAAGAUGCUUCAGAUCUCAGCUGUGCUGGAAGAGCAAGUAGAGCCCAUGUAUGUGUGUGACUUCUGUCCCUUCCUACUAAUACGCAGUUUUGUGGUUAUGAUUUUUUUAGGCUUUUUUCUAUUUUGAUGUUUAGUCCUGAUAUAAUCCUGAUAGCAUGCUCUUCACUUCUUGAUUUCUUUGCCUUUUUAUUUAAUUCUCCAAAGCACUGAGGUAGGAGUCUACAUUUAUAUUCUGUUUUGGAGACAGAGCAGCGCGGCGCAUGUGCUGCAUCCAUUCAGGUGCUGAUCUGAUCAUGUCUCAUACUGGUACGUCUGGCAUCAAAGGCAGCGAGGAUGUCCAGUGCUUGCAGGGUCUCUCAUAAGGGGUCCCACAGCGAGAGGGCAGCAGUGCCACUGUAGAUGCUGGCCGGGACACGUGAUUCUUGGCUAAAGCUCUGCUCAUGUUACAGGGUAGAGGCACAACGGCAUGGCCCUCCCGCCUACAUCUAUGCUUUUUUGCUAAUUUGGCUGUCUUUUUGCUGGCUACGUUUCUGCGGUUGUGGAAAGAGUUUAUAAUGCAUCUGUGGUCCUUAAAGAUUCUCUGGCGCCCUGUUUCUCUGGAGUGAAGGGUGCUAUUAAAUAUAGCCUCCCACCAAAUUCCAGUGACUAAUCACACACAGAUCAUAGUCCCAAAGCAGCCAUGACUGAGAAGCCAACGACCCUCUGAGUAAUGCUGCAGGAAGAACUAACAUGCUUCUUCCCUGGCCUUGCACAGGCAAUGGGAAUGCUGAAUAAGAGUAGACCAAACAACGAGGCUGAUUCCUGAGCCAAAAAAAAAGUGCCUGCAGUCACUAGGUAUUGUCCACUGUUAAUGCUGAGCUUUCACAUGGCCACAGCUGAAGCACAGUGAAGGGGCUGAACAUGGAUGCUCUAAAGGUCUGGGGUGCAGUCAGCUGGCUGGCAGGUUGAUAGGAGAAUUUCCUAUCAUGAAGCUUUCCUUUGAGCUUAACAAAACUUUUAAGCACAUACCUCAGGGCAGAGAGGAGGUCUUGGGCCCAAUGGCACUGUUUGUGUUUAAGGUUAGUAUAAGUUUGAGCAUCCUACUGGAGUUAUGCUUUGGCUGAGAGUUAAAGGAUAAGUUCCUGAUAGAGCUCUUUCCCACCCAGAGAUACAGUUUUUGUCUUAGGCUUCUUAAGCUCUUUACAAGUGAACCCUGCCUUCCCCUUUAAAAAUAAUUUAUCUUGAAUAGCAAUUUAGUCAGCCACUUCAACCUGCACCUGUGAUGUUUGUGUUUGCUGCGAUUAUUUUUGUAACACUCAGAGGUGUCAUUUUUUUUCUCUGCACCUAAAUAGUAAACGACACAUUGAAAUGCAUAGCAUACAGGUUUUUUCAAAAAAUCAUUUGAAUACAAGAAUGAGGAUGGGAGCGUUUGUGGCAAGUUGCUGUGUUCAUGAACAAAUGGUCUCAAAGGAAUUAGCUUCCCAAAGCAAAUGCAGUCAU